rnacentral:lncRNA from 1 species
AGGAAAGGAUGGUUCAGAGCUGGGUAGUCAGAGAAAGUUCCCAGAGGAAGAUGGAAUCUGCUCAGGGCCUCCAAGCAAAGCCCCUGCCUGGAGGGCCUGAUUGGAAGGUAGCAGCAGUCCCUCGGCAGAGGAAGUGAGAGGCUGCACUGGCUUCUUUCCUGAAUGCUUGCAGUGUGGGCAUGCCUCAGCUUGGCUGAAGCCAAAGACGCUGUUGAGUAUGUGAGCAGAGGGUAACCAUGUUGGAGGAGAAGCAUCUGGCUGUGCAAUGGAGGGCCUUGGACGGCAGGUGCAUGAAUGCUGACCUGAUUCUCUGGGCAGUGAGGACCUCUGGAGUGAUUCUGAGCAGUGGAAUACUGCUCAGUGCAGUACUCCUGCACUGAGUGACCUGCAGCAUCUUGGUGUAUGUAUCAGUGUAAGGUCCAAGUGGGGACAGCUCACUAUGACAGCCGCUGUGAACCUAGUCUUCAAGCACCUCUUGGUCCAUGAGAAUCAGCCCUUGAGAAAAGUCUUAGCAACUGUACUCAUUCAGGGAGAGAGAGAGAUCCAUGCCUGCACUGGAGCAGGUGGGGAGUGGCCACACUCAGGAUUCUUGGAACAGCACUUACCCCAGGACCAAGCCAAAUCCCUCCUUGGCUUUCUUUGUGUGGUCUCCGCACCCAGAACCACACUUCACCCGGGAGGGAUUCCUGCCUGUGCAGUGCAUGCUGCAUCCUCGGCCUCUGUGCCUGGAACAAGCUGGGUGUGUCCUGGAUAUUUUCGAAGGAAGGAGGAAUGAACAUGUGGCUGAGGGUGAAACAUGAUGAAGGCCAUGAGGAGGAGGCCAGCUUUGGAGACGGAGGGAGCCAUGUCCUUGGAUGCCGGGAGUGAAUGGCCUGGGGAAACCCUGCGUGUUUGGGCAGCAGCCUCUGGCCUCCUGGAAGUAGACGGUCAUGAUUUUCGGGUGAAACAAGGAGGCAAGGGCGUGAUUUCCUCAAGCCAUGCAGCGGGAAGUGGAGGGCUGAUGAGUGCCAUGAGUCAGGGGUGAGUUUUGCCAGGUGAGUCCUGGGGCAGCUGGCACUGUGGGAUCCUGCCAAGUGAGUGGAAGGGCUGGCCAUGGGUGAGAGACGGAAAAGGCGGGUGUAGGACAGCCCAAGUGCAACGCCAUUCACUGAGGCACUUUCUGAAGCACAGAUGGGGCCCACAUGCACAGAAG